rnacentral:rRNA from 1 species
UGCUAUCGGAUGAUACUAAGCCAUGCGAGUCUUUGUAGUAAUACAAGGCAGACGGCUCAGUAACACGUAAUCAACCUACCCUAUGGACAAGAAUAAUCUCGGGAAACUGGGCAUAAUUCUUGAUAGAUCAUAAUGCCUGGAAUGGUUUAUGGUUAAAAUGAUUCGUCGCCAUAGGAUGGGACUGCGGCCUAUCAGCUUGUUGGUGAGGUAAUGGCCCACCAAGGCGAUUACAGGUACGGGCUCUGAGAGGAGAAGCCCGGAGAUGGGUACUGAGACACGGACCCAGGCCCUAUGGGGCGCAGCAGGCGAGAAAACUUUGCAAUGUGCGAAAGCACGACAAGGUUAAUCCGAGUGAUUUCUGCUAAAGAAAUCUUUUGCCAGUCGUAAAACCGCUGGUGAAUAAGGGGUGGGCAAGUUCUGGUGUCAGCCGCCGCGGUAAAACCAGCACCUCAAGUGGUCAGGAUGAUUAUUGGGCCUAAAGCAUCCGUAGCCGGCUUUGUAAGUUUUCGGUUAAAUCCAUGUGCUCAACGCAUGGGCUGCCGAAAAUACUGCAUAGCUAGGGAGUGGGAGAGGUAGACGGUACUCAGUAGGUAGGGGUAAAAUCCUUUGAUCUAUUGAUGACCACCUGUGGCGAAGGCGGUCUACCAGAACACGUUCGACGGUGAGGGAUGAAAGCUGGGGGAGCAAACCGGAUUAGAUACCCGGGUAGUCCCAGCUGUAAACGAUGCAGACUAGAUGAUGCAUUGGCAUAAUAGCCAUUGCAGUGUCUCAGGGAAGCCGUUAAGUCUGCCGCCUGGGAAGUACGUACGCAAGUAUGAAACUUAAAGGAAUUGGCGGGGGAGCACCACAAGGGGUGAAGCCUGCGGUUCAAU